rnacentral:rRNA from 1 species
GAGUUUGAUCGUGGCUCAGGAUGAACGCUGGCGGCGUGCCUAAUACAUGCAAGUCGAGCGAACGGACGAGAAGCUUGCUUCUCUGGUGUUAGCGGCGGACGGGUGAGUAACACGUGGAUAACCUACCUAUAAGACUGGGAUAACUUCGGGAAACCGGAGCUAAUACCGGAUAAUAUUUUGAACCGCAUGGUUCAAAAGUAAAAGACGGUCUUGCUGUCACUUAUAGAUGGAUCCGCGCUGCAUUAGCUAGUUGUAGGUACGGCUUACCAAGGCAACGAUGCAUAGCCGACCUGAGAGGGUGAUCGGCCACACUGGAACUGAGACACGGUCCAGACUCCUACGGGGGCAGCAGUAGGGAAUCUUCCGCAAUGGGCGAAAGCCUGACGGAGCAACGCCGCGUGAGUGAUGAAGGUCUUCGGAUCGUAAAACUCUGUUAUUAGGGAAGAACAUAUGUGUAAGUAACUGUGCACAUCUUGACGGUACCUAAUCAGAAAGCCACGGCUAACUACGUGCCAGCCCG